ACCACUUGGUCAUGCAGCUGGAGACUUUUGGAUCUUUCCAAUAGUUGCAGUACCAUGAUUUUUUUGUUUUUUUUUCCAGGAUUCUUCAACAUUUGUUUGUCAAAAGGUACUCAGCUUUGUCCUGUAUUAGACAGCGAUCUCGAUGAUCACAUGCUUUUGAUGAUCAACUGAUUCAUUGAAUAUUUCACACGGAACAAAAGAAGAUCCAUUACGUGAUUGGAACUCAGAAUAUUUAUCUCUGCCAAACUGUCUGUUCAUAACUAGAACUGUUCCACCACAUCAAUGUAAGACAAUAAGAACAGAAUGAAUGAAUGAACAAAUAAAUGAAAGAACCAACUACGAAAAAAAAUGAAUGAAAUUAAUAAGCAAGGGCU
rnacentral:lncRNA from 1 species